AGGAAUCAUGUUUUUGUGAAAACUGGUCUGGGACAACUAUGGUCUACAUUGCUGAAAAAGAUAACACGAUUUGUACAAGGGAAGAUUAUUGUUGUCACGAGCCACGGUGUAUAAAGGCAACUGUGGGGACAUCUGGGCAUUCAUUCAUCCACAAUGAAGGCUGCUUUUCUGAUUCUCCUCGUCUCUGUCAUGCUCAUUGGGUCAGCAUUUGUCGCUGAUGCCCAGUGUAACGGUAUUUGCCACAGCGACCACGACUGCAGCAACUGUGACAAUUGUCACAACGGACAUCAUUGUGACCGGCACCCAGAUGACGUUGCUGGAACCUGUUCAUGUCGCCAUUAAUGCUUUAUCCCAGAAAGAGGUGCCGAAAAUACCAACACCUUGUUCUGAGAGUUAAUAAAUGGUAUAAAUGAGAA